GCUUUCUUGGUUACGGCCGCACAAGGCGCCAACACUUCAUACGUGUAGGAGCUGUUCAGCGAGUAAGGCUUGCCGGCCGGUCCUGUCGGCCAGGAAACACC
rnacentral:tRNA from 1 species